UGCGCAGCGCGUGUUUCAUCACGAUGUUGCCGAAACUGACGCCCUUGAGCCGAGCGGUUCGGAUAUAUUGCGCCGUCAUGACCUCGGCCAUCGAGGCGCGGGUCAUCCGCGCGACGUAUCCCAGCCCGUAAAGGGCGAUGGUGAUGACCGGCAGGAAGAAAUUCUCGAACGUGAUGUUC
rnacentral:ncRNA from 1 species